AUGAAAAAGACGCAACAUGAUAAAAAUUUCACAUUUACAGAGCUAAAGUUUCUGACACCGCUCAUAGCAGCAUCUAGCCUGCACCAAAGAGAUAUUGGUGAGAAUGCUGCCAAGUUUCUCUGGAGGAUCAUCCUGAAAAUCCCUCCGUGUGAGAUGACGACCAUCUCAGAAGCAUGGGACUUUUUGUCUAAAGACCAACUGCAGACCAUAAACUUGAAGCAGAGAAAGGAAUUUCUAGCCCAGGAAGUGAUUCUGCUAUGUGAGGACAAGUGUGAAAGUCUUGAUGACAUGGCCCUUUUAGGCAUUGUGUAUACUCAAUUUCACCGGCACCAGAAGCUUUGGAAUGUCUUUCAGAUGAGUAAAGAACUAGGCGAAGAUGUUGACCUUUUUGAUAUAGAACAGUUCCAAAGUUCCUUUAAGAGAAUACUGCAGAGAGCAUUCAAAAAUGUUACGGUCAGCUUCAGAGUCUACGAGAAUUUGGUGUGGAUUCGGUUGGCCUGGGGAACACAGUAUUCACAGCCAAACCAAUGCAAGCCCACGUUGAUGGUGUAUUAUCCCCAGACUCUGCAUGCCUUCAUUUCUUCCUGCCAUCUGAAGAGCACUGUGACACUUCUCCAUCAGGCACUGAAAGUCGCUAGCAAAGACCAUCAGAUUGUGCAACUGGAUCUGAGAAUCAGGCACCUGAACUUACUCAAGAUUAUUGCUUUUAGAAAAUAUAAUCAGACCUUUGAAAAUUACAACUCCACGUUGUCUCUGCAUGAGGGAAUCCUUGGACUAGAGAUAAAUUUGGACUCAAAGAUCAUUCAUGAAAACACAGAAGAAAAAGUAAGAAUCCACACUGUCACUCAAGAGACCUUUGGAGCCUAUCCUCAGCCACAGCUAGAGUUCGCACAGUAUAAGCUGGAAACCAAGUUCAAGACUGACAUAGGUGGGGGCAUCUUGGCAGACAGGAAAGAGCCCCACACACACAGUGUAUUGGAAAGUUCUCCAGUCCACAUCUUUUGGAAGCAUUGAAAUCCUUAGCAACCAGCCAGCAUAGCAAAUGCACGACUUUCUCCACUGCUCAGCUGCAUACCAAGCAAGAAAGUGAAUUAUUUUAAAAUUAGAGAUAAAUGA